UCAGUUGAUUGGAGAGAGUGGAUGUCCAUCAGGGUCACGCUCCGAGGCAAGGGUAGGUGAAACGAGAGGGAAGAUGGCUUCUCUCUGAAGGGUAGACAGGCCUGCUGGGAUGCUCAGGGAGGACUUGGGACAGGCGCUGGGCGGGGUUUCGCCGUUCCGCGGAACGCCGGGAAGGGGUCACUUCCAGAUGAAGGUUCCGGUUCCGGUACGGGCGGAGGUUGCGUUGCCGCGGUAGCGAGGUUGGCUGGCAGCUGGUUCUUGCGUUCCGGGUGGUGGCGAGGCUGGAGCAGGCUUGCAUCCGCCGUUCCCGGCUUAGUUUGUAAAGAGCUCUCGUCUGUGUGAUCGGGGCUUCGCUGACUUUCCAGCCGACCUAAGCCCCUGGGCUUGGGCCCAGGAAAGGUUGAAUGGGGAACUAAGAAAGGAAUUGGUUCGUUCGAUAGACGUUUUCUGAGCAGCUGCUGCGUGCAAGGCACGGUGCCCGCGCGGGACCUGUGCCCAGAGCUUGAGAAAUGAGAAGCAGAGUCAUUGAUGCCAGGUAAAUCAGAGGAGCAAACAUCAUACAGAAAUACACAGGACAGUAAUAUACAGGAAGCGAUGUGAUGUCGAAGCUGAACUGUUGUUUCAAAAGUCCAGCAUCUGGUGCAUCUACCAGUAGGGGCUAUAUUAUUUGCAAAGGCACCUAACUUUUUUUUACUCAUACUUACGUUCUGGUCCUGGUGUCCUCCUCUGGGUAAAAUGGAGAGAAAUGAUGUCCUGUAAAUUUAGUUCUGUCUAGAACACACUGUGAGAGAUACAGGUGAAAAUGGAUUCCUGAAGAAGCACUUAUGAAAAGCCUGGAUGUCACAGCAGAGCCUGAUUCUGUUCUGGGAUUUGGACUGUAGAGGUGUGAGGCCUGGCUUCAGUCCUAAGCAUCACUUACGAGCUCUUUUGGAUUUUCCUCGGAAUUUUCUGCCCCUUGUAUCUUCCCCUUCCUGGAUUUGUGAAAAAUGAAUUUGUGACAUCUGCAAAAGGUAAUGCCUAUUUCAAGAUGUCUUUAUCUAAGGAUUGCAGAGUUUUAAUGAAUCACUCUGUACUCUAUUCCUCUGCUCCUAGACAUUUACCCCCCAAAAUAUUGGCAUGCAUGUAUAGUACAACAAACUGGUUUUGUGUACAUGAAUUCAUUUGAAACUCGCAUUAGCCCUAGGAUAAUAGUUCUCUGGCAUUUUGGUCCCUAAAUUAAGUUUUCUUUUCACUAUAAGAUCCCACAUGCUGCAGAGCAACUAAGCCCGUGCACCGCAACUACUGAGCCUGCGCUCUAGAGCCCGUGAGCCACAACUACUGAAGCCCACACGCCUAGAGCCCGUGCUCCGCAACAAGAGAAGCCACCGCGAUGAGAAGCCCGUGCACAGCAACAAAGACCCGACUCAGCCAAAAAUAAAAAUAAGUAAAUAAAUUUAUUUUAAAAAAGAAGAAUGAACCAGAAGUAAAGAAAAGAGACUGUUAAUAACAUCUUUUUGACAGACUUGAGCACUUUGGGUUCCUCUCUUUACCUUCACAAGCACUUCUUAAAUCUUACUGUGGAAUCGUAGCAAAGCCAGCAAGUCCCACAGAAAAUUAAAUAUUCCUGAGUUAUCUCCAGGGUAUGUAUGUAUUGGCUACAGAUGUGAUCUUUAUGCUUUGUGAAACGAAAAUGACAACAAUUUCAAUGCAAAACUCCAAUGAAACAAAUAACCCUUAGCUUUUCACUUCUGAAAGUUUCAUUCUCUUUUGUCCCCAUGCUGCUUUUUCUCAGUGAGGCCUGAGUCCCUGGCUAUAUAUAGGCUUUAGGUCAGACGUCUGCUGGACUUUGUUCUAUUGAGAGAUUUAUUUCGAGGGAAAGAGCCCAAGUCAUAUCUCGCGUCAGGUAAUAUUAAGAAUUAAGUGGUAAUCAUAAAACAUGUUAAGACUUAAGUAAAGGUGAUAAAAGAAUGGUUGACUUUUUCUCAGCUGUCUGUUUAGUGAAAGAUUUUAAUGUUUUCUGUUAUGUUUCCUUAUUUUUUUUGCAAGCACAUAGACUCCAUAAUUCAAACUGUUAUUACAUUUCCAGCAACUUCUGAGAAGGUGCCCAGACCACAGAAUUUAGAAAGCAGGGAGCCAGUACUGUUGUGUGUCACACUUGUUAGGAAGAUUCAUCUGUUGACAGGAGUCUGCGUCUUCCUCUGAUAAUCACUGAGCUUGCAGCCAGACGAACACUGAGAAAAUUUUAUUGUUUUCCUUUGAAUGAUGGCUAAGAUGUAUUGCCAAGGCCAUAAGUAUUCUUUAUGUUGAGUCAGAAUUUCAUUUCAUACUUCAACAUUUGAGCCUUAAUAAUUUCAGGCUUCAAAAUUAAAUCUUGCUCUCAUGGGAAUCCAUUGC